UUCGGUUCGAUUGUUACAAAAUAAUGACGUUUUUUUCAUUUUGGUUUCAAUUAUUUAUUUAUUUUUACAUUAAAUGCUCUAUGCAACAUAAUGCUGAAUGUUGAAUGCUGUAACACAGAAUAAAAAUGAAAAGUCCCAUGAUGUUAGUGACUGCCCAUUACUUAUUAACCAUCAUUUACUCACAUUUACUUUAAUAAUAUAUUUAAGUUGUUGUGUAUAUUGAAUUUGUUUUAUUUGAUGACUUUAUUACUUCAUUCCAAGUCUUCAUUUCAUUUACAGGUAGAAGCAUUUACUGGUGAAGCAACUGGUCUCUAUCCCUCUCGAUAGUGCAUUUUUCUGUCUUCUCUUGUGUCUGCCCCCACACUAACUUAACAUAGCAGGCCUAAAAGGCUGCGUUUACACAGGAAGCCCAAUUCUGAUAUUUUGUCCACUAAUUGGUCUUUUGACCAAUCACAUCAGAUCUUUUCACAUUGAGAGCUUUUUCAGAGCUGCUCUGAUUGGUCAAAUAACAAUUAGCGAAAGAAAAUAUCAGAAUUGGGCUGCCUGUGUUAAUGCAGCUGAAGAAACAAUGGCUGGACAAGUAGGCGAGCAAUGGAUUAUGGUCCUCCAUUCCCAAACCUGAAGCACCCUGUCCCCAGCAGGAAAGACCAGGAAAAUGUGUUAGCUUAAGCUACAACUUCCUAUUGAGGAAAUGAGACGCCUAUGCAUAACCAUGGUAAAACUGAAAGGGAACACUUUGGAGAUGAGGAAAUGCUCAUAACAAAG